rnacentral:precursor_RNA from 13 species
GGUUCAAGUCCCCAAAUUAAUUGCCUACUUGUAUUUUAAGUCAUCUGUAUCUAUUCCUUUACUAGAUGCAAAUGAUUAAAAAUAUGAGUAAGUAAUUCAAUUGACACAUAGAUGAAU